rnacentral:rRNA from 1 species
GAUGAACGCUAGCGGCAGGCUUAACACAUGCAAGUCGAGGGGUAGAAGGAGCUUGCUCCUUUGAGACCGGCGCACGGGUGCGUAACGCGUAUGCAAUCUACCUUUUGCAGAGGGAUAGCCCAGAGAAAUUUGGAUUAAUACCUCAUAGUAUUUUCGGAUCGCAUGAUUUGAUUAUUAAAGUUCCAACGGUAAAAGAUGAGUAUGCGUCCCAUUAGCUAGAUGGUAAGGUAACGGCUUACCAUGGCAAUGAUGGGUAGGGGUCCUGAGAGGGAGAUCCCCCCACACUGGUACUGAGACACGGACCAGACUCCUACGGGAGGCAGCAGUGAGGAAUAUUGGACAAUGGGCGCAAGCCUGAUCCAGCCAUGCCGCGUGCAGGAAGAAGCAUCUAUGGUGUGUAAACUGCUUUUGUACGGGAAGAAACNCUCCUACGUGUAGGAGCUUGACGGUACCGUAAGAAUAAGGAUCGGCUAACUCCGUGCCAG